GGGGAUUUAGCUCAGCGGCCUAAGUGCCUGCCUUGCAAGCAGGCAGUCAUGAGUUCAAUCCCCG
rnacentral:tRNA from 1 species